UACAGAGGUCUCAAGCGUUGUUCGGAUUCAUUGGGCGUAAAGGGUGUGUAGGUGGCGCGCUAAGUCGGGUGUGAAAUUUCGGAGCUUAACUCCGAAACUGCAUUCGAUACUGGCGUGCUCGAGGACUGGAGAGGAGACUGGAAUUCAUGGUGUAGCAGUGAAAUGCGUAGAGAUCAUGAGGAAGACCAGUGGCGAAGGCGGGUCUCUGGACAGUUCCUGACGCUGAGGAGCGAAAGCGUGGGGAGCGAACAGG
rnacentral:rRNA from 1 species